rnacentral:rRNA from 1 species
GAUGAACGCUGGCGGCGUGCCUAAUACAUGCAAGUCGAGCGAACGGACGAGAAGCUUGCUCCUCUGAUGUUAGCGGCGGACGGGUGAGUAACACGUGGAUAACCUACCUAUAAGACUGGGAUAACUUCGGGAAACCGUAGCUAAUACCGCAUAAUAUUUUGAACCGCAUGGUUCAAGAGUGAAAGACGGUCUUGCUGCAACUAAUAGAUGGACCCGCGCUGCAUAAGCUAGUUGGUAGGGUAACGGCUUACAAAGGCAAGGAUGCAUAGCCGACCUGAGAGGGUGAUCGGCCACACUGGACCUGAGACACGGUCCAGACUCCUACGGGAGGCAGCAGUAGGGAAUCUUCGGCAAUGGGCGAAAGCCUGACGGAGCAACGCCGCGUGAGUGAGGAAGGUCUUCGGAUCUUAAAACUCUGUUAUUGGGGAAGAACAUAUUUGUAAUUAACUGUGCACAUCUUGACGGUACCUAAUCAGAAAGCCACGGCUAACUACGUG